rnacentral:rRNA from 1 species
UACGUAGGGGGCAAGCGUUGUCCGGAUUUAUUGGGCGUAAAGAGCGUGUAGGCGGCUUUACAGGUCCGUUGUGAAAACUCGAGGCUCAACCUCGAGACGCCGGUGGAAACCGUAAAGCUAGAGUCCGGAAGAGGAGAGUGGAAUUCCUGGUGUAGCGGUGAAAUGCGCAGAGAUCAGGAGGAACACCAAUAGCGAAGGCAGCUCGCUGGGACGUUACUGACACUGAGGCGCGAAAGCGUGGGGAGCGAACAGG